GAAUGCUGACAUAAGUAACGAUAAAGCGGGUGAAAAGCCCGCUCGCCGGAAGACCAAGGGUUCCUGUCCAACGUUAAUCGGGGCAGGGUGAGUCGACCCCUAAGGCGAGGCCGAAAGGCGUAGUCGAUGGGAAACAGGUUAAUAUUCCUGUACUUGGUGUUACUGCGAAGGGGGGACGGAGAAGGCUAUGUUGGCCGGGCGACGGUUGUCCCGGUUUAAGCGUGUAGGCUGGUUUUCCAGGCAAAUCCGGAAAAUCAAGGCUGAGGCGUGAUGACGAGGCACUACGGUGCUGAAGCGACAAAUGCCCUGCUUCCAGGAAAAGCCUCUAAGCAUCAGGUAACAUCAAAUCGUACCCCAAACCGACACAGGUGGUCAGGUAGAGAAUACCAAGGCGCUUGAGAGAACUCGGGUGAAGGAACUAGGCAAAAUGGUGCCGUAACUUCGGGAGAAGGCACGCUGAUAUGUAGGUGAAGCGACUUGCUCGUGGAGCUGAAAUCAGUCGAAGAUACCAGCUGGCUGCAACUGUUUAUUAAAAACACAGCACUGUGCAAACACGAAAGUGGACGUAUACGGUGUGACGCCUGCCCGGUGCCGGAAGGUUAAUUGAUGGGGUUAGCGGUAACGCGAAGCUCUUGAUCGAAGCCCCGGUAAACGGCGGCCGUAACUAUAACGGUCCUAAGGUAGCGAAAUUCCUUGUCGGGUAAGUUCCGACCUGCACGAAUGGCGUAAUGAUGGCCAGGCUGUCUCCACCCGAGACUCAGUGAAAUUGAACUCGCUGUGAAGAUGCAGUGUACCCGCGGCAAGACGGAAAGACCCCGUGAACCUUUACUAUAGCUUGACACUGAACAUUGAGCCUUGAUGUGUAGGAUAGGUGGGAGGCUUUGAAGUGUGGACGCCAGUCUGCAUGGAGCCGACCUUGAAAUACCACCCUUUAAUGUUUGAUGUUCUAACGUGGGCCCCUUACCGGGGUUGCGGACAGUGUCUGGUGGGUAGUUUGACUGGGGCGGUCUCCUCCUAAAGAGUAACGGAGGAGCACGAAGGUUGGCUAAUCCUGGUCGGACAUCAGGAGGUUAGUGCAAUGGCAUAAGCCAGCUUGACUGCGAGCGUGACGGCGCGAGCAGGUGCGAAAGCAGGUCAUAGUGAUCCGGUGGUUCUGAAUGGAAGGGCCAUCGCUCAACGGAUAAAAGGUACUCCGGGGAUAACAGGCUGAUACCGCCCAAGAGUUCAUAUCGACGGCGGUGUUUGGCACCUCGAUGUCGGCUCAUCACAUCCUGGGGCUGAAGUAGGUCCCAAGGGUAUGGCUGUUCGCCAUUUAAAGUGGUACGCGAGCUGGGUUUAGAACGUCGUGAGACAGUUCGGUCCCUAUCUGCCGUGGGCGCUGGAGAACUGAGGGGGGCUGCUCCUAGUACGAGAGGACCGGAGUGGACGCAUCACUGGUGUUCGGGUUGUCAUGCCAAUG
rnacentral:rRNA from 1 species